rnacentral:rRNA from 1 species
UACGGAGGAUGCGAGCGUUAUCCGGAUUUAUUGGGUUUAAAGGGUGCGUAGGCGGCUUAGUAAGUCAGCGGUGAAAGUUUGUCGCUUAACGGUAGGAUUGCCAUUGAUACUGUUGGACUUGAAUAUGGAUGAGGUAGGCGGAAUGUGUAGUGUAGCGGUGAAAUGCAUAGAUAUUACACAGAACACCGAUUGCGAAGGCAGCUUACUAAUCCAUCAUUGACGCUGAGGCACGAAAGCGUGGGGAUCAAACAGGAUUA